rnacentral:lncRNA from 1 species
CCUCAGAGGUGUUAUCAUCAAGACCAAGGCUCAUUCAACUUAGUCUAAGAGAGGUCUUUGCCCCCUUUGGGUUGGCUUGUAAUUUUAUCUUUCAAAAGCAUUAUGAAACAAAAUGCUAGUUAAAUUUUUAUUAUAAAUUGAAAUGGUAUUUACAUCAUGGUUGGCUAUCAUCGAUAGUGCGAUGAUAGCGCCAUUGACUUCUCUUUAAAGCUAGGAAGGAAAAUGAUAACCCCAUAGACACCAUCCCCUUUCUCUUCUUAAUUUAGGCUCCUUUCCCUGGCACAGCCAAUUGGGGUGG